UACGUAGGGGGCAAGCGUUGUCCGGAAUUAUUGGGCGUAAAGAGCUCGUAGGUGGCGUGUCGCGUCUGCCGUGAAAGCCCAUGGCUUAACUGUGGGUCUGCGGUGGAUACGGGCAGGCUAGAGGCUGGUAGGGGCAAGCGGAAUUCCUGGUGUAGCGGUGAAAUGCGCAGAUAUCAGGAGGAACACCGGUGGCGAAGGCGGCUUGCUGGGCCAGUUCUGACGCUGAGGAGCGAAAGCGUGGGGAGCGAACAGG
rnacentral:rRNA from 1 species